GACGAACGCUGGCGGCGUGCUUAACACAUGCAAGUCGAACGGUGAAGCGCUUGCCUUUUUGGUGGGUGUGGAUGAGUGGCGAACGGGUGAGUAACACGUGAGUAACCUGCCCUCUUCUUCUGGAUAACCUCAUGAAAGUGGGGCUAAUACGGGGUAUUCCGGGUCUGUCGCAUGGCGGGUUUGGGAAAGAUUGCGCCUUUGGGUGUUUUCGGUGGGGGAUGGGCUCGCGGCCUAUCAGCUUGUUGGUGGGGUGAUGGCCUACCAAGGCGGUGACGGGUAGCCGGCCUGAGAGGGUGGACGGCCACACUGGGACUGAGACACGGCCCAGACUCCUGCGGGAGGCAGCAGUGGGGAAUAUUGCACAAUGGGCGCAAGCCUGAUGCAGCGACGCCGCGUGGGGGAUGGAGGCCUUCGGGUUGUGAACCUCUUUCGCCAGUGAAGCAGGCCUGCUCCUGUGUGGGUGGGUUGACGGUAGCUGGAUAAGAAGCGCCGGCUAACUACGUG
rnacentral:rRNA from 1 species